AUUAAACGCUGGCGGCAUGCUUUACACAUGCAAGUCGAACGGUAACAGGCCGCAAGGUGCUGACGAGUGGCGAACGGGUGAGUAAUGCAUCGGAACGUGCCCAGUCGUGGGGGAUAACGCAGCGAAAGCUGCGCUAAUACCGCAUACGAUCUAUGGAUGAAAGCGGGGGACCGUAAGGCCUCGCGCGAUUGGAGCGGCCGAUGUCAGAUUAGGUAGUUGGUGGGGUAAAGGCUCACCAAGCCAACGAUCUGUAGAUGGUCUGAGAGGACGACCAUCCACACUGGGACGGAGACACGGCCCAGACUCCUACGGGAGGCAGAAGUGGGGAAUUUUGGACAAUGGGCGCAAGCCUGAUCCAGCAAUGCCGCGUGCAGGAAGAAGGCCUUCGGGUUGUAAACUGCUUUUGUACGGAACGAAACGGUCCGGGUUAAUACCCUGGGCUAAUGACGGUACCGUAAGAAUAAGCACCGGCUAACUACGUGCCAGCCGCCGCAGUAACAC
rnacentral:rRNA from 1 species